rnacentral:rRNA from 3 species
UGACUCUCGACAACGGAUAUCCCGGCUCUCGCAUCGAUGAAGAACGUAGCGAAAUGCGAUACUUGGUGUGAAUUGCAGAAUCCCGUGAACCAUCGAGUCUUUGAACGCAAGUUGCGCCCGAAGCCACUAGGUCGAGGGCACGUCUGCCUGGGUGUCACGC